rnacentral:rRNA from 1 species
AACGAACGCUGGCGGCAGGCCUAACACAUGCAAGUCGAGCGAGGACUUCGGUCCUAGCGGCGGACGGGUGAGUAACGCGUGGGAACGUGCCCUUUGCUUCGGAAUAGCCCUGGGAAACUGGGAGUAAUACCGGAUGAGCCCUUUGGGGGAAAGAUUUAUCGGCGAAGGAUCGGCCCGCGUUGGAUUAGGUAGUUGGUGGGGUAAUGGCCUACCAAGCCGACGAUCCAUAGCUGGUUUGAGAGGAUGAUCAGCCACACUGGGACUGAGACACGGCCCAGACUCCUACGGGAGGCAGCAGUGGGGAAUCUUAGACCAUGGGGGCAACCCUGGUCUAGCCAUGCCGCGUGAGCGAUGAAGGCCUUAGGGUUGUAAAGCUCUUUCAGCUGGGAAGAUAAUGACGGUACCAGCAGAAGAAGCCCCGGCUAACUCCGUG